CCGGGUUUCAGAUCCAGCUUCUCACAGCAGAGCUUCUGGGAGACACCUAACUUCCCUGAUCACCAGUGCUUCACCGGAUUUCCGUCUGAACCUGGAGCUCACUCUUUCAGCCAAGUUGACCAACCAGGAAGUUCCAGGGAUCCACUGUCUCUCUCUACCUUCUCAGCACUGUGGGCUCUGGGGAUCGAAACUCAGGUCCUCAUACUUGAGCAAGAAACACUUCAUUGACUGAGCCUUCCCCUCAGUCCCCCUCUUGCAAUUUACUAUUUAAUCAUCUCAAGAUCUAUGGAGGCAAGUGUCAUGACAGCCCCCUCCUGCUGAGUGAGAUUUACCCUUUCUAGUGAGUCCCAGACCCAAGAAAAACACUUGGGUCUGCCAGGCUCCAGAACCCAUGUUUUAUUUGACCAGUGAGGGAAAUGAAAGUUCUAGAAAUUCAUGAAAAGUCCUGAAUACCUUGGGAUUCUAAGGCCAUCAUGAAAUUAGCACUGCAUGGUACUCCCCGGAGUACCAGGUUGGCUUUUCUGAGGGCUGUCAGUUAGCCUCUGUGUGUUAUUCUUUUGUAGGCUGCAGCCCUGGCCUCCGGGCCUGGUACAGAGCUGAGCUUGGUGGUGGAUGCUCAGUGAAUGUUUGGGGGCUGACGAAUGAAGGCAGACAGCUUCAUCCAUGCACAUGCCCCUCGAGGCACACGUGGGAGGCUCGGCCUGAGCUGCUGCUGCACGUGGCUGGCUUUGCUCACCCAGCGACCUGGCUGGAGGCUGGGCUCCUUCCGAGAGGCUCUGGGUUAGGCAAAGACCUUUGCUCUGGAGCACCAACGCCUCUGGGAGGAGCCAGCCAAGUGCCCCAGGAAGUCCCAACAGGACAGCUGCAACUGGGUCUUCUCUAGCCCAAUGGGUGUCAGGGAGGCACCCUCCAGUCUCCAGAGAACUGCUUUGGUUCUGGGAAAACUAUCUCAGCCUUUCUUUUUCAUUUUUUCUCUCCCUGUCUUGCCCCGAAUGAGCAUCCCCCAUUUAUUUUUGCAUUUAUAUUCUGUUAAAAGAUAUAUAACAUAAAAAGGGCCACUCUGUGGGGCUGGAGAAAUGGCUCCAAGGUUAAGUGUGCAUACUGUUUUUACAGAUGACCUGAGUUCAGUUCCCGGCACCCACACUGGGUGGUUUACGACUGCCUGUAACUUCAGAUCCAAAGCUUUCUUCUGUCUGCCCCCUGUCCCCCACCUAAGUACCUACCUCUGCCACUUCCAAUGCACAACAUAGUAACGAGAAGCCCCUUUACCUUGCUGUAUAAUCUUUCACCUUCUCCAACACACUUGUCAUUUUGUGAAAGUGGGACAGACAGAGAUCCCCAUUUCUCCUUCACUAACUGCCAGUCAACACUCCAUUUUCUAUUUCUCUGAAUUCAGCUACUCUAGGAAUUUAAUGAGUGGAAUCGUGCAAUAUCUGUCCUUUCAUGACUAUCAUUAUUCAGUUAGUAGAAUGUUCUUUGCAUGUGUUGUAGCAUAGGUCAGAACUUUCUUCCUUUUCAGUGUAAAACAAUAUUUCUUUGUAUGGACAUACCACAGGGUGCCUAUCCAUUCAUCUGCUAAUGGAAUCACUAGUGGCUGCCAUCAUUUUGGCUGCUGUGAAUGCCUUGGCUAUACACAUGGGUGUGAAAUAUCUGUUUGAGUCACUACUUUGAUUUCUUGGGUGUACACACCUAGAUGUGGGUCUACUGUACUCUAUGGUAACUAAAUUAAAAAAUUAUUUCCUAA